rnacentral:rRNA from 1 species
CCUACGGGUGGCAGCAGUGAGGAAUAUUGGUCAAUGGACGAGAGUCUGAACCAGCCAAGUAGCGUGAAGGAUGACUGCCCUAUGGGUUGUAAACUUCUUUUAUAUGGGAAUAAAACAGGGUAUGCAUACCCUCUUGUAUGUACCAUAUGAAUAAGCAUCGGCUAACUCCGUGCCAGCAGCCGCGGUAAUACGGAGGAUCCGAGCGUUAUCCGGAUUUAUUGGGUUUAAAGGGAGCGUAGGUGGAUUGUUAAGUCAGUUGUGAAAGUUUGCGGCUCAACCGUAAAAUAGCAGUUGAAACUGGCAGGCUUGAGUACAGUAGAGGUACGCGGAAUGCGUGGUGUAGCGGUGAAAUGCUUAGAUAUCGCGAAGAACUCCGAUUGCGAAGGCAGCGCACUGGACUGCAACUGACACUGAUGCUCGAAAGUGUGGGUAUCAAACAGGAUUAGAUACCCCAGUAGUC